CAAUAGCGUAUAUUAAAGUUGUUGCAGUUAAAAAGCUCGUAGUUGGAUUUCGGGGCAGCCUGGCUGGUCCGCCGCAAGGCGAGUACUGGUCAGCCGCCCUUCCUCUCGAAAGCCCCGACUGCUCUUUAUUGCAGUGGUCGGGUAGUUCGGGACGUUUACUUUGAAAAAAUUAGAGUGUUCAAGGCAGGCCUACGCCUGAAUACAUUAGCAUGGAAUAAUGGAAGAGGACCUCGGUCCUAUUUUGUUGGUUUCCAGGACCGAAGUAAUGAUUAAGAGGGACAGUUGGGGGCAUUCGUAUUUAAUUGACAGAGGUGAAAUUCUCGGAUUUAUGAAAGACGAACAACUGCGAAAGCAUUUGCCAAGGAUGUUUUCAUUAA
rnacentral:rRNA from 1 species